rnacentral:rRNA from 1 species
ACCAGACUCCUACGGGAGGCAGCAGUGGGGAAUAUUGCACAAUGGGGGAAACCCUGAUGCAGCGACGCCGCGUGAGCGAUGAAGUAUUUCGGUAUGUAAAGCUCUAUCAGCAGGGAAGAAGAUGACGGUACCUGACUAAGAAGCCCCGGCUAACUACGUGCCAGCAGCCGCGGUAAUACGUAGGGGGCAAGCGUUAUCCGGAUUUACUGGGUGUAAAGGGAGCGUAGACGGCGAUGCAAGCCAGAUGUGAAAGCCCGGGGCUCAACCCCGGGACUGCAUUUGGAACUGCGUGGCUGGAGUGCAGGAGGGGCAGGCGGAAUUCCUAGUGUAGCGGUGAAAUGCGUAGAUAUUAGGAGGAACACCAGUGGCGAAGGCGGCCUGCUGGACGAUGACUGACGUUGAGGCUCGAAAGCGUGGGGAGCAAACAGGAUUAGAUACCCGAGUA